GGUAGAAUGGCCGAGUGGUUAAGGCGCUGUGUUUAGGUUAUCAAUUCGAAACCAAACCCGCAGUGGGAAACCGCCUGGGUUCGAACCCCAGUUCUGCCA